ensembl:lncRNA
UGUAGUAGACAUGCCAAUGUCUGUGCUCGUGUUUUUAAUAGAACUCUGAAUAAGGAGAUUUUCAGUUUGAAUCAUAAGAUCCAUUUGAGAGAGUUGUACUUUUCGUGUUGAAUUUUGGGAGAAAAAUAUGUAUUUUAAGAUCAAAAAUUCUGUACAAAGUUUCAAUAAUUUGAACAGUAUUUUCAACAAGACAAAUAGAUUUGUUCAUAAGAUCAGGUACCAAUGAGUUCCUUGACAUGCAGAAGGUCUCCUUUGUCUGUGACCCCCAUGCAGAUGGCUAUGGAAAAGCAGAUGACUCUUCUCACAUUUUCAGUGAUUAGCUUGAUUUUGCUGGAAAGUUGUAACCUUUUUGUGACUGAUUCUUACCCUCUCACAAACACUUGCCAGCCAUAUGGAACUGGUGUUUAGCCAUUUAUUCACACAUCAAGUUUUUCCACUACCGUUACAGGACGUCUCAAAUUCAAGCAAGGUUUUUACUUGAUGCCAAGCCUGCUAAUUACUACCCUUAUUUCUACCAAGCUUUUACAAUUUGGCUGUUCAUAGCUAAACCCAUGCUUUUCCCACCUCUACACCAUAUGCUGAUGAACAGCAAGGGCGAUGGAGGAAGACUAAAGAAGUCAAAUUUGUUAAGUUGAUUUAGGGUCUGUGUAUGUCUAUUUGCUAUCAUUUUGUACUAAACCUAGAACAGCGGUUUAUUUUAGAAAACCCUAUUGAACAAAGGGGGUUACAUUGCUGGGUGGAACGUAAGAACUACUGAGGUUUCCAGAUCUCCAUCAGUCUGAUUACAGGAUGCAAAAAGAAGAAUAGAACCACAUAAAUGUAUGUGUUAUACAAGGAAUACUCCUAUUUCCUGUGAUGAGCUUUUGAUAUAGUGUAAGAAAACGGCAUCUCUUAUCUACAAAGGUAUUUCCCCUUCUUGAUGUCAGAGGGAAGGAAACCCCCAACCUGUCCCCACGGAGGCAUCCCACAAUGCCUACAAUAAUUUUCACAGUGCUCUUGUGCCUUUUCUUAUACAAGAAAAUUUUCCUUUCAAUUUAGUAUUCAAGGUGUUCUUGGGUAUAUAUAGGCAGCGUAUGGCAUUAAAAAGGCUUAAAUCAAACGUAGCUUUCCUGGAAGCAAAAAUGCUGUUUUUCUACUUUUUCUUCUUGAGUUGCUGCUUCUCUGUCUCUAUGGGCAGUGCAAUAAGGGAAUUUCAAGAGAACUUGAAGAAAUUAGCGGAGCUGGCCAACAAGGAGGUGGGUCAUUCUCUUUUCUUCUUUAUCGUCUACAGUUUACUUGAUGGGGGGGAGGGAAAUUGUGUCUGGGCUGGCAGCAGCUCCAGUGCAUCUCCUGUGUUUUAUUUGCUAAACCCGGGCUGCUGGAGCAGCUGCAUGUCAGCCUCCCCUCUGAAGCUGGCACUGCUGUUGUGUCCCCAAAGGAAGUUCAGAAAUAGAAAACCCGAUGAAGGAGAUAGGUAGAUAGAGAUGCUUAGCGGAAUGGCAGUCUCUUAGAAAUGCCUUCUAACACUGUGCUCUUUCUCUCCCUCUCUCUCUUAUUUUGACUUCAGGUUUUUGUUCAAGUUCCUGGGGGGAGAUUUCAGGUAAGGCUUCUAAAAGUUCUCUUGUUCUGCUGCUGCUGCUGCAAUCAUUUGGAAAAUAGGGAUGGUUUGUAGCUGAUCUGGAGGAAGAGACCACUGUGAGAGACCCAGCAUCUCAAAACUGGGUUAUGUGUGCUGGUGGUGUUCCCAUGAGCAGCUCAGUGAGGUUUCUCAUGUACAGAAAGUUAUGCAGAGGAGUAACAAAAUGUGAGGCCUGGGCCUUUGAGCCUUUGUCACAGUCCUGCUGAAGCCAGUCUCACGAGCCCUCUGAAAGAACAGCGCCAAGGUUGUUCUCAACACUGAUGUCUGAUCCCGGAGUGGGACCCGCUGCCCUUUGGGGCAGGGAACAGUGCUCACACAGACGUGCUGCCAUGUUCUUACCUGUGGGCAGGCAGAGGAGCGGGGCAUUGCAAAGCACAGCAGAGUUCAUCUCUGAAGGCUGCAGCGUGCAGGCACAAGCUGUCCCACAUAGCCCUCUGUGCCGAUCGGUGGUUUCAUCCCACGGCCUGCAGGUUUCUCAGGCUCUGUAAACGACCACAGCCUCAUGAAGCGUAACCAAGAGCGGGCGGUCUGCUGCUGGGAGGCCUUGAUUUCAGGGAAAAAAAUGGCCUGUUUGCAGUUUUAAAGAAGAUGAAGAGCAGCAGCUGAUAGACAGAUGGGUGUGAUGCUUCUGUCCUGCACAGAGGAUGCAGCUCAGAGGCAAUUAGCAGAUCUUAUCUCAUCUCCUCGGGCCACUCGCUCUGAUCUCGCUGAAAUAACCCAAACAGCCUCUAUUCCUGUUUACCACUUUUGCUGCUGCAUUGGUUUGUAUUUCCUUUAUAGUGAUCUGCUUUUUUUUGACUGCUUGUUUCUUCCUCUAGAUUCUUUACCUUCCAAUCCCAGAAAGUACAGGAAAGCAUCCCCUUCUUACUCAUAGAGAAAUAGAGCAGGGAACCGAUGUUUCUAUUUCCAAGCAGUUCAUUAUUGAAUUUAGUGAGAUGAACUUUAACUCCUGUGACAUAAUGCAAUUUUGCCGUUGUUUGAUUGUUUUUUCAGUGCAGCUGUGUUGGCAGUCACCUGAAUAGAACCAUGGCACAGCUGAAUACCAGCAGCUACUUGAAGAAGUGCCAGAUGAGAACGUAUAUUUCUCUGAUGGAGGGUAACGCACGCUACAUAAUAGCGGCUUUCCACAGGGAGCAUACAGAACCCAGGGGAAAUCGGCGCUGUAAAACAAUAGAGAAGCCCCUGCAGAGUGCCCUGGGGCACUACAAGAGGUUUUUCCAGUGGCUGCACGAGAGCUGCCAGGUGCCAACACUACAGGGAGGGCUGGCAGAGUACGGCACAGUAGCUCCACCGGGAGACAGCGCGACGGAGCGUGGAUGCUCUACAUAGGAUCAUCAGAUAUUUAUAAUUUCCUAC